rnacentral:rRNA from 1 species
UCAUAGCGACUAUCGUGGCAUAUCAAUAAGCGGAGGAAAAGAAACUAACAAGGAUUCCCCUAGUAACGGCGAGUGAAGCGGGAAGAGCUCAAAUUUGAAAUCUUAAAGGGUUUCCCUUUACGAAUUGUAGUUUAAAGAAGUGUUUUCUGUUGGAGUUUUGGUAAAAGUUCUUUGGAAUAGGACAUCAUAGAGGGUGAGAAUCCCGUAUUUGACCGAUUAUUUUCAGCUGUGUGAUACACUUUCAAAGAGUCGGAUUGUUUGGGAAUGCAGUCCAAAAUGGGUGGUAAAUUUCAUCUAAAGCUAAAUAUUGGCGAGAGACCGAUAGCGAACAAGUACCGUGAGGGAAAGAUGAAAAGAACUUUGAAAAGGAGAGUUAAACAGUACGUGAAAUUGUCAAAAGGGAAGCGUUUGACACCAGUGUUGUUUUCUCGAAAAUCAAUUAAAAAAGAGCCGGAUUUUGUGUUGUAAUUGACCUUUAUAAGCUUUACUGCACUCUUUUCUUGUCUUUUUUAAUGCACUUUUCGUUUAACAAGUCAACAUCAAUUUCUUUUGUUGUAAAAGGGUCAUUGGAAGGUGGCUUUCUUUUCGGAGAAAGUGUUUAUAGCCUUUGAUCUCUGCAACCGGAGAGACUGAGGUCUGCAGCGUAGACUCUUCGGGGUUAGAUACAUUUGUGCUAAGCUAUAGCUUUUAUAGACAACUUGUUGACUAUGAUUAGUCAUUGUAGGCUUACUCGCUUAUGCUAUUUUACCUACGCUUAGGAUGUUGAUAGUCACAGCGUGUAC